CCCUUAGAUGUUCUGGGCCGCACGCGCGCUACACUGAUUCAUGCAACAAGUUUUGUCCUUGGCUGAUAGGCCUGGGUAAUCUUUGAACGUGAAUCGUGAUGGGGAUAGAUGAUUGCAAUUAUUCAUCUUCAACGAGGAAUUCCUAGUAAACGCAAGUCAUCAGCUUGCAUUGAUUACGUCCCUGCCCUUUGUACACACCGCCCGUCGCACCUACCGAUUGAAUGGUCCGGUGAAAUCUUCGGAUCUGAGAGAUGUCUGAUUAAUUUCGGACGCCUUUUGGAAAAGCUGCUUAAACCUUACCAUUUAGAGGAAGGUGAAGUCGUAACA
rnacentral:rRNA from 1 species